GACGAAGGAUCCAAGCGUUAUCCGGAUUUAUUGGGUUUAAAGGGUGCGUAGGCGGAUUGAUAAGUCAGUGGUGAAAGCCUGCAGCUUAACUGCAGAACUGCCAUUGAUACUGUCAAUCUUGAAUAUGGUUGAUGUGGGCGGAAUAUGACAUGUAGCGGUGAAAUGCUUAGAUAUGUCAUAGAACACCGAUUGCGAAGGCAGCUCACAGAGCCAUUAUUGACGCUGAGGCACGAAAGCGUGGGGAUCAAACAGG
rnacentral:rRNA from 1 species